UUCACUGAUUCCUCUUUUCAUAUAUUGUUGCAAACCUAGAAUAUUUUUCAGUAACUACAUUGAUUUGAUCUUUUUGUUGUUGCUGGGGUUUUGUUGGAACUUGAUAUUAUGAUGGGAGACCUCAACUAUUCUGGGUACCAGUGGAAAGCCUCCUUGAGGAAACAAGGUGUAAGCCGAGAUCUGAAGGAUGGAUUCUCCUAUUGCUGUCUCAGCUGCAUACUUUGAAGAAAUAAGCAGCCACGCUGGAGCGCCCACCUGACAAGAAACCUUGAGAAGACUCUGGCCAAGAUCCAGCAAGGAACUGACCCUCAGUCUAUAAGCCCGUGAGGAGUGCAUCUUUCCCCAGCUGCAUCUUCAGAUGAGACCCUAGGCCUGCCUGCCAUCCUGAUCACAGCCUUGGUUGUGGCCAUUUUAUUGUACUGCACUGUCUUGCAAUGAGAUGCCCUCUGUGGCAUAUUGUAUCUCCAAAGUUUACAACAGAGCCUUUCAAAUAUACUGAAUUGUGUCUUUAACAUACUAUAUUUUAUAGUGCAGAGAUCCAAUGUUUAUUUCGAGAUUCCAGUAUAAAUGGGUUAUCAUAUACUAUAUGGCAGUAAGCAGAUUUUAAAACAGCCAAAAGGAAAUUUGACCCCAGGAUUAUUUACAUUUGACACAGA